AUGGCCAGCGUCGUCGUCCUCGCUGCUGCUGCUUGCUGCUGCAUUCUCCUAGCGGCCUCGGUAUCGCCGGCUUCGUCAGAGCCCGCGGUGUACAGCGUCGGCGACGGGAGGGGGUGGACGGUGCCGGCCGGCAACGGCACCGAGACGUACAACCACUGGGCCAAGAAGAACCGCUUCCAAGUCGGCGACGUCCUGGAUUUCAAGUACGCGGCCAAGGACUCGGUGCUGCUGGUGAACCACGACGACUACAAGAUGUGCAGCACGGUGACCCCCCUGACCCGGUUCGCGGACGGCGACACCAAGUUCAAGUUCGACCGGACGGGCUUCUUCUUCUUCGUCAGCGGCGUGCCGGGACACUGCGAGGCGGGCCAGCGGAUGAUCGCCAGCGUCAUCGGGCACUCCACGCUGGCCGCCGCUCCGGCCAAACCGCCCUCCGUCGGCGUCGUCGGCGGCCACGCGCCCGGCCCCAGCCCCAGCCCCAGCCGGGCAGUCUCGGCCCCGGAGUCCCCGUCGUACGGGUCCAGUUCUGGCGGAUCCACCUCGACGACCGGUUUCGGACCCAGCCCGUCGACCGAGCCCAGUGGCGCGUCCAGGCGGGCGCUCUCCACUGUCGUUGGGCUUGUCGCCGGUGUCGUCGCCAUGAUCGCGUUGGCGUGA
rnacentral:rRNA from 1 species